UCAAGGAAACUCCAAGUCAAAUUAAAAUCAUCCAUCAUAUAACAUCACAUAAUACAUCUCCCAGGUUUACAUAACACAAUAACUCAUCUCAUAAAUACAUUUCCUUACAUAGGAAUAUAGCAAGAACGGACAUAAUUGCAAAAUAAAACAAUGGCACAUCUGCUAACAAUGGAGUUCAUUCCACUCUCCUAUGAAACAUAGGUUCAGAAAUUUUUAUGUUGUGUUGAUUUGAAUGUCCAAAGUAGGCAUCAUCGACAUCUUCUCAUCACUUUCCUAGCAAGAGAAGAAGAGACAAAACAAAAAACAUUAGACCGGAUAGGAGCUUCAGUAGCAGAGCAAACCAAAUUGAAUCAAACAUAGACCGACAUUUGCAUAUGGAUAUUUUUG
rnacentral:lncRNA from 1 species